UACGUAGGGUGCAAGCGUUGUCCGGCAUUAUUGGGCGUAAAGAGCUCGUAGGCGGUCUGUCGCGUCGGCUGUGAAAACCUGGGGCUCAACUCCGGGCCUGCAGCCGAUACGGGCAGACUAGAAUUCGGUAGGGGAGACUGGAAUUCCUGGUGUAGCGGUGAAAUGCGCAGAUAUCAGGAGGAACACCGGUGGCGAAGGCGGGUCUCUGGGCCGAUAUUGACGCUGAGGAGCGAAAGCGUGGGGAGCGAACAGG
rnacentral:rRNA from 1 species